rnacentral:miRNA from 1 species
AUAGGAAAUGAAUAAGGAGAAU